UCUGGUCCUGUUAUAAAGUAGAUUUGAUGAAAUAAUUUGUCUCUGGCAUCUGAACAGAUCACAUUCAAAAAUGUUGUACAUUUUCUUUUGGUUUGCAGUGAUCACAGGUUUCCGAGUUGAUGUGCUGGUUUAUUAUAAAUUGGUAUGCAUUUUUAUGAGGUCAAAACAACAACAAUCCAACAUCAAUAAAUUAAAGUGUUCACCCUUUUAGUUUUACGGUUUUUACAUUUUUUUAUGAUUUUACUUGUCAUUUUUGAAACACAAUGUAAAUAAUUAUUGGGAUGAAUGAUAGGAACAGGUCAAACGUUUGUUACAAACCAUUAUUUUGGUUGGUUGAAAAUGUUGCUGAUGUGUUUUACAUUUUCUAAACCUCGUGUUUGGAAAUGUGCGGAAGUGCUACUCGAAACUUUUCUAGUG
rnacentral:lncRNA from 1 species